AACGAACGCUGGCGGCAUGCCUAACACAUGCAAGUCGAACGAUACCUUCGGGUCUAGUGGCGCACGGGUGCGUAACGCGUGGGAACCUGCCCUUAGGUUCGGAAUAACUCCCCGAAAGGGGUGCUAAUACCGGAUAAUGUCUUCGGACCAAAGAUUUAUCGCCUUUGGUUGGGCCCGCGUUGGAUUAGCUAGUUGGUAGGGUAAAAGCCUACCAAGGCGACGAUCCAUAGCUGGUCUGAGAGGAUGAUCAGCCACACUGGGACUGAGACACGGCCCAGACUCCUACGGGAGGCAGCAGUGGGGAAUAAUGGACAAUGGGCGAAAGACUGAUCCAGCAAUGCCGCGUGAGUGAUGAAGGACUUAGGGUUGUAAAGCUCUUUUACCAGGGAUGAUAAUGACAGUACCGUGAGAAUAAGCUCCGGCUAACUCCGUG
rnacentral:rRNA from 1 species